GGCUUCCCAGGCAGUCCAGGGACUCCAGACAACUCUCAGCCCACUGGGGAGAAGGGGAGAUUGGAAUCAAGAUUAUACAUGUGCUUCCACUUUCUACUAAAAUAGCAAAAUGGUCUGGGCUGUUGCUUCCUCCCCAAGUGCCGUCCCCCUCACUAAGAAACUUCAACUGAAACAGAUCCAGAAGGAAAGGAACCAAAAGGGCAAGAGAGGGGAAUGGAGAGAGAAAGAGGGGAAGAGAAACAUCAAUGUGCAGGAGAAACAUCAGUCAGUUGCCUCUUGCACAUCCCCAACUGAGGACUUGGCCCACAACCCAGGCACGUGCCCUGACUGGGAAUAGAACCAGCGACCUUUCAGUUGGCAGCCUGGCACUCAGCCACACCAGCCAGGGAAGAUUCGAUAGAUUUUUAAUCAAAAUCAGACUGUACUGGAUUGACAAGUUGAUUCUGAAAAAUAUAUGUAAAAAGAGAAAACCAAAA